UACGUAGGGUGCGAGCGUUGUCCGGAAUUAUUGGGCGUAAAGAGCUUGUAGGCGGUCUGUCGCGUCUGCUGUGAAAAUCCGGGGCUCAACCCCGGACUUGCAGUGGGUACGGGCAGACUAGAGUGUGGUAGGGGAGACUGGAAUUCCUGGUGUAGCGGUGAAAUGCGCAGAUAUCAGGAGGAACACCGAUGGCGAAGGCGGUUCUCUGGGCCUGACCUGACGCUGAGGAGCGAAAGCGUGGGGAGCGAACAGG
rnacentral:rRNA from 1 species